rnacentral:rRNA from 1 species
UUAAAAAGCUCGUAGUUGGAUCUCGGCAAGUAGAGGGCGGUAUGCUUCGUAGCAUUACUGCCCUAUUACUUGUAGUUUUGCCAGAGGUUCCUGGGUGCUCUUAAUCGAGUGUCUAGGGAUGCUGGCAGGUUUACUUUGAAAAAAUUAGAGUGCUCAAAGCAGGCUAUUACGCUUGAAUAUUCGUGCAUGGAAUAAUAGAAUAGGAAGUUGUUUCUAUUUUGUUGGUUUUCGGAAAUCGACUUAAUGAUUAAUAGGGACAGUCGGGGGCAUUUGUAUUCAAACGACAGAGGUGAAAUUCUUGGACCGUUUGAAGACAAACUACUACGAAAGCAUUUGCCAAGAAUGUUUUCAUUAAUCAAGAACGAAAGUUAGAGGUUCGAAGGCGAUUAGAUACCGCCCUAGUUCUAACCAUAAACGAUGCCAGCUAGCGAUCUGAGGACGUUUUUUUUGUAGACUCCUCAGGAAGCUUCCGGGAAACCAAAGCGUGUGGGUUCCGGGGGAAGUAUGGUUGCAAAGCUGAAACUUAAAGGAAUUGACGGAAGGGCACCACCAGGAGUGGAGCCUGCGGCUUAAUUUGACUCAACACGGGAAAUCUCACCAGGCCCGGACACUGGAAGGAUUGACAGAUUGAGAGCUCUUUCUCGAU